rnacentral:rRNA from 1 species
AUUGAACGCUGGCGGCAUGCCUUACACAUGCAAGUCGAACGGCAGCGGACCUUCGGGUGCCGGCGAGUGGCGAACGGGUGAGUAAUGUAUCGGAACGUACCUUUCAGUGGGGGAUAACGUAGCGAAAGUUACGCUAAUACCGCAUAUUCUGUGAGCAGGAAAGCAGGGGAUCGCAAGACCUUGCGCUGAUUGAGCGGCCGAUAUCAGAUUAGCUAGUUGGUAAGGUAAAGGCUCACCAAGGCGACGAUCUGUAGCGGGUCUGAGAGGAUGAUCCGCCACACUGGAACUGGGACACGGUCCAGACUCCUACGGGAGGCAGCAGUGGGGAAUUUUGGACAAUGGGCGCAAGCCUGAUCCAGCCAUGCCGCGUGAGUGAAGAAGGCCUUCGGGUUGUAAAGCUCUUUCGGCCGGGAAGAAAUCGCAUGGGUUAAUACCCUGUGCGGAUGACGGUACCGGCAUAAGAAGCACCGGCUAACUACGUGCCAGCCGCCGCGGUAAUAC